AUCACAUUCUGAGCAUUAAAGAGAUAAAAAGUCAAAAUCUAUGUGUGAAUCAUCAUGCCAUCCGGCAUAGAUUAGAUCCGUUUAUUGAAUCCAACAACUUGGUUAUGUUGGGCUGCCGGGGAGCAGGCUAGUCAAGUAUUUGAGGUGAGGUAGCAAUACCAUAGCACCUGCCCGGUCUUCAACUGAGAAACACUGGCUCCGAGGCUACUGGAAGGGAAAGGAAUAUAAAGGAGAAGGAGAACGAACCCCUUCUUCUUCACAAUCCCUUUUCACUUUCCAAUUAAGAAGAAGAAGAAACGACAGCACUACCUUCAACCUCAUAAUCCAACGCACCACCACCAGCUCAACGCCUCCUUUCUCUCGAAGUUUUUCGUGGCCUUGCCAUCGCCGUAAUCAAGAUCAAUUUCUUCACAGGUUUUUUUUCCCCUUACAGCCCAUGAUUUUAGUUGAUGAUGCUGGAGGAGCUUUUCCUUGUAUCAAUCACUCUCCGGGGUUUGGCGUGACGCUUUCUGAUUUUGUGAUGCCCUUUUUCCUCUUUGUUGUUGGUGUCUCCAUCAGUUUAGUUUUUAAGGGAACAAAUUUCUCUUCAUUAUCAGGUUAAACAGGUGCUUCUUUCUUUCCUUUCACGUAGCUCUUCUGCACAAUUGAAUUUGAUAACAUUUUCUUGAGCUAAAUUUUUUUUUCAGAGUCAUAAUUAAACGACAAUAAGUUCAAGUCUCUUUAACUCAAGGCUGUUGAGGAGAUACGAAGUCCUAAUAGGGCUCAAGCAAAAUUUAGACCGAAGGUUCAAAACUCAUUUAACAAGCUUUUCUGUCUGCGUCAGACUGCCAUCUUUCUCCAUUUUGAAGUCUAGGAAGAAACUGGACUAGAGGACCAUUUUCUGUGGUGAUUUCUUGUACUAUAAUCAUGAUGUUGGAUUCAAGAAUAGCAUGAUGUUAUAAGAAUUUUUCUUCCAUUUUGGCAUCUGGAAGGGCUUUGUACUUUGAAGCUUGCUCCCAUCACCAGGUCCAGUCAUUUUAGCUCGCAAAAGUUGAAAGGAAAUACAAGUGACUCCCAUUGUGUCAAAGUACAUCCCUAUUGGAUCAAAACUCGAGGGCAGAAAAAAAAAGGGUUUACUUAUUGCUCAACCAUAAACUGAAUGCUGGAUUAGAUGUUUUAUACAUAUUGGUGGCAAAGUAAAUUUAAUUAGAAAGAUCGUUAAUUUAAUGAUUUUGAUGAUAAAGUUUAUAGUACAUCACUUUUAAUUUUCCGAGAUUGCUUUUGCAGGAUGGUCGCUUUCUGGCUGUAUGGCCUUUAUGAUCCAGACUGGGAAUUUGAAGUUCCAAGCACACAUCUGUUUGGUUACAAAUCUGGUACUAAAACUGUGAAUUGUGGAGUGAAGGGAAGUCUUGAACCUCCUUGUAAUGCAGUUGGCCUGAUUGAUCGAUUUUUUCUUGGUGAGCAUCCUCUAUAUCAGCACCCUGUGUAUAGAAGAACAAUGGUGAUGUUCUGAGGUACUCUCUAACACAUAACAAUUACAUUGUUUUCAUAGCAAUGUAGUGUUAAUUCUCCUGACUAUAGACCUCCAGUACCAGAUUCACCUGGUUGGUUCCUUGCUCCAUUUGACUCCAAGGGCAUCUUGAGGUCAGAUAAACUGCAAUGCUUUCUCUUGCUCCAUAUUCUUAUGAAUCACCAGAUUAUUUUCUCCAUUAUAAUAACGUACAUUAAAGCCAAGUGCCUAUUUCAGAUGCUUUCACUGUACUAAUGUAUAGUGAUACAGCUCUUAGCAUGUCAGCAAAUAAUCAGCUCCUUUUUUUUUUCCCAGUUUUGAAAAACUUUACAUGGGUUCCUUGUUUUGUGCCAAUUAUCAUUUAGGUUUCCCAAAUUUAAUAAUUUAUCAAUGAGGUCCCUUAAGUAUCACAUAUAUUUCAAUGGAGUCCGGUCAUCAACUUUGGUUAAUAUUUUAUAUCAUUUUAUGCACUAAAACAAGACUGGAUUGAUGAGAAUUUGACAUUUUUAGAUGAAAGACCUAAUAGAAAAAUGUGUUGACACUCAAAAAAUGAAACUGAUAAAUAGAUAGAUUUAGAUGAAUUUAAGAAUUAGUUAUUAAGUUAGGAAAGAAAAUUAAAUGCUCUGAUGUUUAUCAACUGCAUGGAGGACAAAUAAAUUAUACUAAUAUAUUAAAAUAUAGAAAUAUCCAUAGCAACUUGAGGGUGUCAUUCUAAUUGAUUGCAAAAAUUGAAGUAAAAUUAUCUGCUGAAAUAGCGUUUCAUUUACAUAAUCUUCUGACACCAAAAAAAAGAAGAAGCUUUUGUGUCAAUGACAAACUUUAGUGUUGAUUUCUUUUCUUAACAAUCUUUUCAGUUUCUUGAUGGCUUCUUAUAACAUGUUUUCUUGGAUUGCAGUUUGGUCAUAUACUUGUUCAUUUUAAGGGCCACAUGCAGAGGCUGUAUUUGUGGUCGGCGUGUUCUUUCACUGUACAUUACUGGAUAUGUGUUAAAACUUCUCGGUAGAUUUCCUAUUUUAAAUAUUCAUUUAACAUCAAUGAUUUCUACCAGGAUCCUCUCCUUUUCCGUUAAGUAAUAUUUGGGAAUAUUUCAGGUGCUCCUUUUUAUAAACCAUUAUAUAUGUUGAGCUAUGUGUGCAUUACAGCGAAAGCAUCAGGCUUGGCUUUAAUGAUUAUCUUUUACAUAAUAAGUUUAUCAUCCGCUUACUACCUAAUAAAAAAAUUCUAGCGUUGCACUUGGUAGUUCUCUGGUUAUUCAGAAAAACUUAUGAUAUUAAAUUUAUAUACGAUGCGCUUGCUUUCUUGUGUUCAACAAGGAGAUCUUAUUGACUCAUAUCACUUAGCCUGAGCUAUUCAUACAAUUUAAUUGGGUUAAAAUCACGGAAAUUAUGAUAAUAUAGAAACAGGCGGUUUCUUCUUGACAUGUUUAUGGACUGAAAGCUUCAGCUUAGUUUUAGUGGGGUUUUGUCUGUUCUGAUCUAUACUUGCUUUCAAUACAUUGACAUGGCUUACUUGUUAUCCAUUUACCACCAACAUGGCAAAAUAAGUAGGUCUACAGAGCUUGAUUUAUCUUGUUAUAAUGUCUGAGCAUCUUCUUUACCUAAAAUUUCAUUGAACAUGGUAAAUUAUGUUCCAGUGUAGAGCUUUGGAAUUAUCAUGGCUUUUGAGGUUGGGGAAGAAAUAGUCUUACGAGGAUAUAGCAAAUCUCCCUGCCAUCUAUAGGGGAUUGGCUAGAUCUUAACUUGGAUUAUUGUUGGGAUGGUUUACAACAUUAGAGUUUUUAUCUGUUUAUAUCCAUACUCUUGUUAGAUACACUGACAUGGCUUGCUUCCCAUCACAUGAAGAUGUUGUAACUUACAACUCUCAGUCCCAUUGUUUUGUCAUCCCCUUUUCUUUUCUUUCCCACUUUUGUGCAGUGGAGAGAUUUUGAAAAGAUUGAGAGACUAAAGGAGAUUGGCAUGAAAGAAUCAUUUCAAUUCAACCAUAUUUUAUGCAGGCUGAUGUCUAACAUUUUAGAAAACCCUCAAUGGUACUUCAGUGGAUGGGAAUGAAUGCACUCAUCAUUUAUGCAUUGGCUGCAUGUGACCUUUUCACAGCAGCCAUUCAAGGUUUCUAUUGGGGUUCACCGGAAAACAACUUGGUAUGACUGUUUCCUACUUGGCUGCUAGUCCUGUUCUGAGUUAUUCCUUCUCCACCCAAUCUCUCCCCCAAAUAAAUAUUUGUUAGUGUAAUGGCUGGCGUUCUGCUUUUUGGUGCAAGUUUCUGCACUAUGUGAACAAAUGCAGAGGCGUAUGCUCCCGUGCACACACUGAUAGAGGAUCCACCUACAUGUUUAAAACUAUUAUUAUUACACAAUCUUUCAACCAUUGAUUUUCUGCAGUCGAAUGGCUGAUACCAACGGUUGAUUUUCUGCAGUCGAAUGGCUGAUACAAUGUCAUACCUCAUAUACAAUUACCGCUUACAACUAAAUAUGACAUGCAGGUUACUGUUAAAACAUACUACUAUAUUAGAACAUACCACAGUUACUGUUGCUUCUCACUAUUUCAUUCUUCCCCUUCAGAUCUAUAGUUUGCUGAACCUAUAGUCAAUGUUCUGAAUGUUUUUGUGCUUGCAACUAAAUAUGACAUGCAGGUUGAUGGCACAUAAUCGCUGUUGCAAGCCAUGUUCCAUUCAAAGAAAUGGAGCACCUGAGUUUUUGUACCAGUGGUGAUUUUAUUUUGAAGGGCAUGAAUGCGAGACUGCAUAGUAUUGUAGAUACUGCUUGUUCCCUGUGAAAGACUAAAUUAUACAUUGUUAUUCCUGCAACAGUGUCUUUUAAACGAUGAUCAAGAGUCAGGAUCAAUUUAGUCUUGAGAUUAUUUGCGUCAUCUUUCCACUUUAAUUCUUAGUUGCAACAUAAAGACGUACAAUUAAAGAAAAAGGAAAAAAGAAGAUCAUCACUCAAAGGUGUUCCGGAUAGGGAAAAAGGCAUUGGAUUGUUUCAACCUUACUCAUUCCUUAGAGCUGGAAAAAAAAGAUAAGGUAAAAUACGAAGGCAAGCCCUGUUCGGUGGCUUUCCUGUAUUCACAGGGGGCGGCAGAGAAUCAACAUUAGCCCAAAAGUGUUAGCUUUGACUAGUGAUUAAUCAUAGCAAAUUGCCAAGCGUGUAUUGAUAUUUAUCUAACCUCCACCCGCAGGAGGAUUUCGAGUUCCUAGUCCUGAAAAAUAUUAUUGCGGGGUGCCUUCUUGUCUUCGCCAAAAAGGCAAGCGAGAGGCAGCCACAAUAAUGCCAUAAUGGUUGAUUGUGCAGAUCACAGACUAACGGUUUUGUUUCUUCCUUUUCAAGAUAAGUAUCACUUCUUCUUUGCUAAAAGAGUUCUGCCAUGGAGUCAUCUUUCGGCCAUAAAAAACUUUGCCAGCUUCAGAUUCCACCAGGCAAGAUCACAAAAAGUUUUAUGCUCACUUGUAACCCUUUCUUUUCUAACUCGUAUAUAAUCACUCGCCUUGUAUUCCACACACCUUGUAGAGCCUACAGCCUCGCGAAACUCCUUCCCACUCUUCAAGGAAGCGAUUAGACGAGAGAGAGAGAGAUGGCAACUGAAAAGGCAGAUGUAGAGGUUUCUAACACCAACAACGACGGCAUCCAGAAUACCUCAACGCAAACCUCAGUUAACAGCGAGACACCGACAUCAGCUGUCCCGCGCUUUGGAAAAGCGCUAGCACACAGAGCCCUCUAUGGUUCAAGCAGCCGCCAUGGUGGAAGUCGAAAGGCCAGAUCCAGUGAUGUGAAAACAUUACCGAGUAGGCUAAGCAAGGUCUCACUAGCUGAUGACACAGAAAAUAGGGAAUGAGGGCUUUACUGUACUGAUCCUGUGCUAAAUUUCUGUGUAAUGGGAUAUCGUAGAAUUCGUAACAUUCCAAACCAAUGUACAACUCUGAUGCUUAAUAGAUAUCAGUAGAUAAAUAUUAGUUUCUA